GCUGGGAUAGCCAAACCUGGUAAACCGCAAAUCAGAUAAUAAAUCGACGCCGUAAGGCGUCUUUGCGGCCAAUCGGCGCCAGCCUGGAAAGCUGGUGUGCUAAAAAGAAAGCAUGACGUUCAACCGAAUGACAUUGCAAAGCAAUGUCUGGUACCUGAACGUCCUUUCAGUGGAAGCACGUAUGGGUUCAAAUCCCAUUCCCAGCG
rnacentral:tRNA from 1 species